rnacentral:ncRNA from 1 species
GUUGAAGCGUUGAAGAGAGUCUAUUAAGCCGGUCUCCCUGUUGAUAGAGAAUCAGUGGUUGGUGGAAACUGAUACAAAGGCCUGGUGAAUUUCGUUCUUGGAGCUUUUCCUUUUAAUAAAAGCUGUUUUCGCAUUGACGAAAAAGUUUUAAAAAAGGAACGGUUUUGGCCGUUAUCCAGUAACUUGAGCGGGAAGCAGCAUGCUUCCAAAUAGGGUGGUACCGCGUGUUCAGCCACGUCCCUAUC